rnacentral:lncRNA from 1 species
CUACAAUUAUCAGCCAGGGAAAUAGGUAUUCAGCGCCAGGCUUUGGGGCUAAAGAGGUGACCUGUAGGGGCCUCUUAAAGCCGGGACAGUGGAAGAAUUGGAAUUGGGUAUCACAAGGUGACCACUUCGAGAACGGUGCCUUUUUUACACCAUCAGGUAAUCCAAGUGCCAGCAAGCAAUUUGGCGCCGACAAAAUGAUGCCUUUCAAACCUGGUCAAAUGGUCCCCGAACUCACAAAGUAUGCCGGACCACUAAGCUGCACAAUCGGCCGUCCUUGCUAAAAACUGCUAUUUUUAUAUGCAUAUGUCCUCCCUUUUUUACGUACAAUAUUUGAUACCCAAGCAUAGUACAUUUGGUAUCUUUUCUGAAUGAUUGUCAGUAAAUUUUCUUUUAUGCGAUCCCACCCUAUUCUCUUCUUCUCUCCUAGUAAUAGAUAAUCACAAUUUUUUUCUCACGCGUAACUGUGGAAAUCAUAAAUUUAGAACAUAAAUGUUUGUUUGAAAAUAACAUAUAAUGAAUAAUGAAAUGUGUGGUUUGAAAUAAAGUAACAAUAAUAACAUUGAUUAUCAUGGUGUUUUCAUCAAUCUUUAGUUGGUGUAGGCACCAAAUCAAUCAAAUACAUUAAUCUAACAUAUCUAGUAUAUAUAUUCUAUUGCAAGGUUUUUUUGGAUUUGUGGAAACCUUCAGUUUGAAGUGAGUUUAGAAUUCGCUAUGCGUCACCAAUCAUUUCAUGACAGGAAUGGAAAUUAAUGAAAUAAAAUAUUUGGUUAGAACUAAAGUUGCGUAAUUAAUUAAAAAUUUUAACAAUCGCGAGACCAUUUAGUUUCUAUAAAUUUUGUAUGUCCCAACUUACAUAUUCCGGGUAAUUAGUCAUUUGUCAAAACACAUCAAAGUGAGAAAAGAAAGAAACAAGAAUCAUGAGUCAUUCCUCAUAUAGUAAUAUUCGUAAUAAUGCAAUCGCAACGGUGAUUCCACCAGGUGUUCUUGCAUCACCAAGAACUAAAUUGAUUUUCUAGAACAAGAUUUAUAAUGGAGACAUCAAGUAUGUAUUUAAGGUUGUGUAUGAGUUAGAUUUCUUUAAGACUCAGCGGAGGGUCGGGGAGCCGCCCAAGACAUUGCUUUUACCAGUAUAAAGUCAACUACCGAAGCAAAAAAACUUGCAAAGCUGAGAGGACAUAGGAUUAAUAAUUCAGCACCUAUGUUUUGAGUUGCUCCAUAGUUGACGCAGUGGUAUUAGCUUAGUAAGGGCUUAAAUAAUCGUAUAGAUAUUUAUAAUUGAUGGACAUAAUAAAGUAUGCUUAACAAAUUUGAAAAUCAAAAAAGAAAAUCAAUGUCUUGGUACAGUGUUAAAUUUAUGGUUUUACUAGCAUAAUAAUUGAUUUGGGUUCAAAUCCCUUCGACAACAUAUUUUAUAUUCUUUUAAAACAAUAAGAAUUAAAAUAACCUUCAAUAAUAUAACUUAUUUUAAACAUGAAAGGAAUGUAUUUCUAAUUUCCGUAAUAGAGUCGAUGCUCGAUCGACUCAUGUCACCGAAUUAGUUAAGGACUUCAAUAAAUGUUAGUAUAGAUUGUAACAAUAAUGAAAUAUGCAUUAAAAAUCACCACAGAGGUUCAAUAUACACUCGAAUCUCUGUACUCUUUUAGACUUUUAAAAUUUGAAUACAUAGUACUUUUAUAUUCAAAGGUCCAAGUAAUAAAUUAGAGUCCAAUUCAUAUCACAUAUUCAGAUUUGAGAGAAAUAAAUAAACUCUCUUACCAAUUGAACUUUUAUUUUUUAAAUCAACCAAGUGCAAGGAUUAAAAUCUUGAAAUUGAAAGGAGAGAGGUUUCAUCUGGAAAUGUUGAAGAGUAAAGGGAUUGGAGGAUAAUUAGAGAUUUUUUUUUGUAAUUUCUGAAAUUAGACGUUUAGAAUGGUCUAAAAAAUACAAGAAAACCUCAACUGUUUCUAUCCAAAAAAAGGAAACAAAAUCCAACCAUUUUUUACGCACUUGAAACACUAGUAGCCAAGUGUGUUUUGUAAAUUUGGAAAUUUUCAUGAAUCCCGGUGUACUAUAAAUAGUGACAUAAUGAUGGUGUUCCAAGCAAAUCAUGCUCGAGUUCAAGUUUUUGGUGCCGUAGCUUGUCUCUCCUGUCCUAUUAGGGUCCUGUUUGCAUCCAACCAGUUGUUUCCAAGAGCUAGGCUUUGAUACUUAAAAUAAGAACCACUAUGGGUAUUUCUAGUUAUAGUUUCUUUCUGUUUUUAUUUGUUGUCAUAAUCCCAACCCUAGAAGCUCAUAUCGCUGAGUAUGACGAGUACUGGACGGCACGAGAAUUGGAAGCCAUUGAGAACCUGGACAAGGCCUAUCACUCCAACCCGGAGGAGGUGGUCCGCCAUUACAAUGACCACUUCUCUAGGACCAUGCUCGAGUUUUAUAUCACCAAAAGGGUGUUGGCAGAAUCAAAAAAGGGUCCCUGUGAGGUUACCAACCACGUUGACAGUUGCUGGCGAUGUGAUCCUGACUGGGAAAAGAAUAGGAAGAAGUUGGCCAACUGUGCCCCUGGAUUUGCUCGAGGUACUACCGGUGGAAAGGAUGGUGAGUUUUACGUGGUCACUGACCCUAUUGAUAAUGCUGCUGACCCCAAGCCUGGAACUCUGCGUCAUGCUGUCACCCAAACUGGACCACUUUGGAUCACUUUCAAAGGGUCCAUGACCAUCAAGCUGCAACAGGAGCUCAUUGUUACAAGUGAUAAGACCAUUGAUGCGAGGGGAGCCAAUGUGGAAAUUUGUAAUGGUGCUGGUAUCACUAUCCAAUUUGUGAAGAAUAUCAUUAUCCAUGGCCUUCAAAUCCAUCACAUUAUUCCCGCCAAGGGUGGCAAGAUCAAGGAUGGUGAAAACCACCAUGGGUUACGGGGUGACAGCGACGGAGACGGGGUGUCUAUUUUUGGAUCAACCAAUGUUUGGCUUGACCAUCUUGCCCUUCACCAUUGCGCCGAUGGCCUUAUCGAUGUCGUUCAAGGAUCAACUGCCGUUACCGUUUCUAACUGCCACUUCACUGACCAUAACGAUGUAAGCUUACUUUCCUUUCAAUUUUAAACUACGCACGAUGAGGAAUUUUUUGAUUGACAAAAAUAAUACAAUUGAAAUGAAAAAAAUUACAGGUGAUGUUGUUUGGAGCAAGCGACUCUUACAGUGCCGACAAGAAGAUGCAGGUCACUGUUGCUUUGAACCACUUCGGUAAAGGAUUGGUAGAGAGGAUGCCUAGGUGCCGAUUUGGUUUUAUUCAUGUCGUCAACAAUGACUACAAUCACUGGUUCCUGUAUGCCAUUGGCGGCACCAGCAACCCUACAAUUAUCAGCCAGGGAAAUAGGUAUUCAGCGCCAGGCUUUGGGGCUAAAGAGGUGACCUGUAGGGGCCUCUUAAAGCCGGGACAGUGGAAGAAUUGGAAUUGGGUAUCACAAGGUGACCACUUCGAGAACGGUGCCUUCUUUACACCAUCAGGUAAUCCAAGUGCCAGCAAGCAAUUUGGCGCCGACAAAAUGAUGCCUUUCAAACCUGGUCAAAUGGUCCCCGAGCUCACAAAGUAUGCCGGACCACUAAGCUGCACAAUCGGCCGUCCUUGCUAAAAAUGCUAUUUUUAUAUGCAUUUGUCCUCCCUUUUUUACGUACAAUAUUUGAUACCCAAGCAUAGUACAUUUGGUAUCUUUUCUGAAUGAUUGUCAGUAAAUUUUCUUUUAUGCGAUCCCACCCUAUUCUCUUCUUCUCUCCUAGUAAUAGAUAAUCACAAUUUUUUUCUCACGCGUGACUGUGGAAAUCAUAAAUUUAGAACAUAAAUGUUUGUUUGAAAAUAACAUAUAAUGAAUAAUGAAAUGUGUGGUUUGAAAUAAAGUAACAAUAAUAACAUUGAUUAUCAUGGUGUUUUCAUCAAUCUUUAGUUGGUGUAGGCACCAAAUCAAUCAAAUACAUUAAUCUAACAUAUCUAGUAUAUAUAUUCUAUUGCAAGGUUUUUUUGGAUUUGUGGAAACCUUCAGUUUGAAGUGAGUUUAGAAUUCGCUAUGCGUCACCAAUCAUUUCAUGACAGCAAUGGAAAUUAAUGAAAUAAAAUAUUUGGUUAGAACUAAAGUUGCGUAAUUAAUUAAAAAUUUUAACAAUCGCGAGACCAUUUAGUUUCUAUAAAUUUUGCAUGUCCCAACUUACAUAUUCGGGUAAUUAGUCAUUUGUCAAAACACAUCAAAGUGAGAAAAGAAAGAAACAAGAAUCAUGGUCAUUCCUCAUAUAGUUAUAUUCGUAAUAAUGCAAUCGCAACGGUGAUUCCACCAGGUGUUCUUGCAUCACCAAGAACUAAAUUGAUUUUCUAGAACAAGAUUUAUAAUGGAGACAUCAAGUAUGUAUUUAAGGUGGUGUAUGAGUUAGAUUUCUUUAAGACUCAGCGGGGGUCGGGGAGCCGCCCAAGACAUUGCUUUUACCAGUAUAAAGUCAAAUACCGAAGCAAAAAAACUUGCAAAGCCGAGAGGACAUAGGAUUAAUAAUUCAGCACCUAUGUUUUGAGUUGCUCCAUAGUUGACGCGUGGUAUCAGCUUAGUAAGGGCUUAAAUAAUCGUAUAGAUAUUUAUAAUUGAUGGACAUAAUAAAGUAUGCUUAACAAAUUUGAAAAUCAAAAAAGAAAAUCAAUGUCUUGGUACAGUGUUAAAUUUAUGGUUUUACUAGCAUAAUAAUUGAUUUGGGUUCAAAUCCCUUCGACAACAUAUUUUAUAUUCUUUUAAAACAAUAAGAAUUAAAAUAACCUUCAAUAAUAUAACUUAUUUUAAACAUGACAGGAAUGUAUUUCUAAUUUCCGUAAUAGAGUCGAUGCUCGAUCGACUCAUGUCACCGAAUUAGUUAAGGACUUCAAUAAAUGUUAGUAUAGAUUGUAACAAUAAUGAAAUAUGCAUUAAAAAUCACCACAGAGGUUCAAUAUACACUCGAAUCUCUGUACUCUUUUAGACUUUUAAAAUUUGAAUACAUAGUGCUUUUAUAUUCAAAGGUCCAAGUAAUAAAUUAGAGUCCAAUUCAUAUCACAUAUUCAGAUUUGAGAGAAAUAAAUAAACUCUCUUACCAAUUGAACUUUUAUUUUUUAAAUCAACCAAGUGCAAGGAUUAAAAUCUUGAAAUUGAAAGGAGAGAGGUUUCAUCUGGAAAUGUUGAAGAGUAAAGGGAUUGGAGGAUAAUUAGAGAUUUUUUUUGUAAUUUCUGAAAUUAGACGUUUAGAAUGGUCUAAAAAAUGCAAGAAAACCUCAACUGUUUCUAUCCAAAAAAAAGGAAACAAAAUCCAACCAUUUUUUACGCACUUGAAACACUAGUAGCCAAGUGUGUUUUGUAAAUUUGGAAAUUUUCAUGAAUCCCGGUGUACUAUAAAUAGUGACAUAAUGAUGGUGUUCCAAGCAAAUCAUGCUCGAGUUCAAGUUUUUGGUGCCGUAGCUUGUCUCUCCUGUCCUAUUAGGGUCCUGUUUGCAUCCAACCAGUUGUUUCCAAGAGCUAGGCUUUGAUACUUAAAAUAAGAACCACUAUGGGUAUUUCUAGUUAUAGUUUCUUUCUGUUUUUAUUUGUUGUCAUAAUCCCAACCCUAGAAGCUCAUAUCGCUGAGUAUGACGAGUACUGGACGGCACGAGAAUUGGAAGCCAUUGAGAACCUGGACAAGGCCUAUCACUCCAACCCGGAGGAGGUGGUCCGCCAUUACAAUGACCACUUCUCUAGGACCAUGCUCGAGUUUUAUAUCACCAAAAGGGUGUUGGCAGAAUCAAAAAAGGGUCCCUGUGAGGUUACCAACCACGUUGACAGUUGCUGGCGAUGUGAUCCUGACUGGGAAAAGAAUAGGAAGAAGUUGGCCAACUGUGCCCCUGGAUUUGCUCGAGGUACUACCGGUGGAAAGGAUGGUGAGUUUUACGUGGUCACUGACCCUAUUGAUAAUGCUGCUGACCCCAAGCCUGGAACUCUGCGUCAUGCUGUCACCCAAACUGGACCACUUUGGAUCACUUUCAAAGGGUCCAUGACCAUCAAGCUGCAACAGGAGCUCAUUGUUACAAGUGAUAAGACCAUUGAUGCGAGGGGAGCCAAUGUGGAAAUUUGUAAUGGUGCUGGUAUCACUAUCCAAUUUGUGAAGAAUAUCAUUAUCCAUGGCCUUCAAAUCCAUCACAUUAUUCCCGCCAAGGGUGGCAAGAUCAAGGAUGGUGAAAACCACCAUGGGUUACGGGGUGACAGCGACGGAGACGGGGUGUCUAUUUUUGGAUCAACCAAUGUUUGGCUUGACCAUCUUGCCCUUCACCAUUGCGCCGAUGGCCUUAUCGAUGUCGUUCAAGGAUCAACUGCCGUUACCGUUUCUAACUGCCACUUCACUGACCAUAACGAUGUAAGCUUACUUUCCUUUCAAUUUUAAACUACGCACGAUGAGGAAUUUUUUGAUUGACAAAAAUAAUACAAUUGAAAUGAAAAAAAUUACAGGUGAUGUUGUUUGGAGCAAGCGACUCUUACAGUGCCGACAAGAAGAUGCAGGUCACUGUUGCUUUGAACCACUUCGGUAAAGGAUUGGUAGAGAGGAUGCCUAGGUGCCGAUUUGGUUUUAUUCAUGUCGUCAACAAUGACUACAAUCACUGGUUCCUGUAUGCCAUUGGCGGCACCAGCAACCCUACAAUUAUCAGCCAGGGAAAUAGGUAUUCAGCGCCAGGCUUUGGGGCUAAAGAGGUGACCUGUAGGGGCCUCUUAAAGCCGGGACAGUGGAAGAAUUGGAAUUGGGUAUCACAAGGUGACCACUUCGAGAACGGUGCCUUCUUUACACCAUCAGGUAAUCCAAGUGCCAGCAAGCAAUUUGGCGCCGACAAAAUGAUGCCUUUCAAACCUGGUCAAAUGGUCCCCGAGCUCACAAAGUAUGCCGGACCACUAAGCUGCACAAUCGGCCGUCCUUGCUAAAAAUGCUAUUUUUAUAUGCAUUUGUCCUCCCUUUUUUACGUACAAUAUUUGAUACCCAAGCAUAGUACAUUUGGUAUCUUUUCUGAAUGAUUGUCAGUAAAUUUUCUUUUAUGCGAUCCCACCCUAUUCUCUUCUUCUCUCCUAGUAAUAGAUAAUCACAAUUUUUUUCUCACGCGUGACUGUGGAAAUCAUAAAUUUAGAACAUAAAUGUUUGUUUGAAAAUAACAUAUAAUGAAUAAUGAAAUGUGUGGUUUGAAAUAAAGUAACAAUAAUAACAUUGAUUAUCA